UCCCAAUCAGGAGUACUAGGAUGCCUGGAGGUACUUGGCUUAUCCACAGUGGGUACUAGGACCCCUGGGGGUACUUGGCCUAUCCACAGUGGGUACUAGGACCCCUGGGGGUACUUGGCUUAUCCACAGUGGGUACUAGGACCCCUGGGGGUACUUGGCCUAUCCACAGUGGGUACUAGGACCCCUGGAGGUACUUGGCCUAUCCACAGUGGGUACUAGGACCCCUGGAGGUACUUGGCCUAUCCACAGUGGGUACUAGGACCCCUGGGGGUACUUGGCCUAUCCACAGUGGGUACUAGGACCCCUGGGGGUACUUGGCCUAUCCACAGUGGGUACUAGGACCCCUGGAGGUACUUGGCCUAUCCACAGUGGGUACUAGGACCCCUGGGGGUACUUGGCCUAUCCACAGUGGGUACUAGGACCCCUGGAGGUACUUGGCCUAUCCACAGUGGGUACUAGGACACCUGGAGGUACUCGGUACCUAUCCACAGGGUGUACAUGAGAGGACUCAUGAGAUCAUGGGCUUAAAAUGCACAUGAAGGGGUACUUAAGGGUUACACUGGGCAGAGAAACAUUCAGUUGGUGGCACAGUAACCCAAAAAGGUUGGGGACCACUG